rnacentral:rRNA from 1 species
UACGGGGGGUGCGAGCGUUAAUCGGAAUAACUGGGCGUAAAGGGCACGCAGGCGGACUUUUACGUGAGGUGUGAAAUCCCCGGGCUUCACCUGGGAAUUACAUUUCAUACUGGGAGUCUAGAGCACUUUAGGGAGGGGUAGAAUUCCACGUGUAGCGGUGAAAUGCGUAGAGAUGUGGAGGAAUGCCGAAGGCGAAGGCAGCCCCUUGGGAAUGUACUGACGCUCAUGUGCGAAAGCGUGGGGAGCAAACAGG